rnacentral:rRNA from 3 species
AGUCAUAUGCUUGUCUCAAAGAUUAAGCCAUGCAUGUCUAAGUACGAGCCGCUUUAAGGUGAAACCGCGAAAGGCUCAUUAAAUCAGUUAUGGUUCCUUAGAUCGUACCCACACUUACUUGGAUAACUGUGGUAAUUCUAGAGCUAAUACAUGCAAACAGAGCUCCGGCCGGAGACGGCAGGAGUGCUUUUAUUAGAUCAAAACCAAUCGGCGGCGGACGUGUUCACGCGCGUCCGCUCGCCGCCAGACCUGGUGACUCUGAAUAACUUUUGGCUGAUCGCACGGUCUCGCACCGGCGACGCUUCUUUCAAAUGUCUGCCUUAUCAACUGUCGAUGGUAGGUUCUGCGCCUACCAUGGUUGUAACGGGUAACGGGGAAUCAGGGUUCGAUUCCGGAGAGGGAGCCUGAGAAACGGCUACCACAUCCAAGGAAGGCAGCAGGCGCGCAAAUUACCCACUCCCGGCACGGGGAGGUAGUGACGAAAAAUAACGAUACGGGACUCAUCCGAGGCCCCGUAAUCGGAAUGAGUACACUUUAAAUCCUUUAACGAGGACCCAUUGGAGGGAAAGUCUGGUGCCAGCAGCCGCGGUAAUUCCAGCUCCAAUAGCGUAU